rnacentral:tRNA from 1 species
GGAGGGUAUAGCUCAGUGGUAGAGCAUGUGCUUAACAUGCACGAGAUCCUGGGUUCAAUCCCCAGUACCUCCA